rnacentral:lncRNA from 1 species
CACAGCCCCAUCAGAGACCAGGGAGUGGCUCUGGGAGCUCUUUUCAUCCAAAGGGGCUGGAGCUCCAGUUAGCCAAGGUGAGCGCCAGGUGGUGACAGGAAUGACAUAGGAAAAUAAGACGGCCUGGGCAGGGAGGGCUGCCUGCUCUGGGUGUGAGGGGAUUGCUGUCUUAGAUCACGUGGUCCGGGAAGGCCUCCAGGCAUGGCUUUGCACAGAAGCUGGUACCUGAGGGCUCAGCCCCUUGGAGGCCUGGGCCAGGUGGAUGUGUCUAAGGAGGGCUGAGGGCUGGGCAGGGAGAGCAGCUGUGUGGUGAGGACGAAGGGAGGUCCGGCCAGAGCCCCCGGGGAGGGGCUGUUGUCAUGUGGAUGAGCUGGGAAUUAGGAAAGCUUGUGGAUUGCAAACAAAGAGAAAGAGUGUGUGGGGAACGG